AUGGGACUGCGGCCUAUCAGCUUGUUGGUGGGGUAAAGGCCCACCAAGGCUAUACAGGUACGGGCUCUGAGAGGAGAAGCCCGGAGAUGGGUACUGAGACAAGGACCCAGGCCCUAUGGGGCGCAGCAGGUGAGAAAACUUUGCAAUGUGCGAAAGCACGACAAGGUUAAUCCGAGUGAUUUCUGCUAAAGGAAUCUUUUGCCAGUUCUAAAAAUACUAGUGAAUAAGGGGUGGGCAAGUUCUGGUGUCAGCCGCCGCGGUAAAACCAGCACCUCAAGUGGUCAGGAUGAUUAUUGGGCCUAAAGCAUCCGUAGCCGGCUCUGUAAGUUUUCGGUCAAAUCCAUGUGCUCAACGCAUGGGCUGCCGAAAAUACUGCAGUGCUAGGAAGUGGGAGAGGUAGACGGUACUUGAUAGGAAGGGGUAAAAUCCUUUGAUCUAUCGAUGACCACCUGUGGCGAAGGCGGUCUACCAGAACACGUUCGACGGUGAGGGAUGAAAGCUGGGGGAGCAAACCGGAUUAGAUACCCGGGUAGUCCCAGCUGUAAACGAUGCAGACUCGAUGUUGCAUUGGCAUAUAGCCAGUGCAGUGUCGCAGGGAGGCCGUUAAGUCUGCCGCCUGGGAAGUACGUACGCAAGUAUGAAACUUAAAGGAAUUGGCGGGGGAGCACCACAAGGGGUGAAGCCUGCGGUUCAAUUGGAGUCAACGCCGGG
rnacentral:rRNA from 2 species